CCUACGGGUGGCAGCAGUGGGGAAUUUUGGACAAUGGGCGUAAGCCUGAUCCAGCUAUUCCGCGUGUGGGAUGAAGGCCCUCUGGUUGUAAACCACUUUUUUAGAGAACGAAAAGACACCUUUUAAUAAAGUUUUUUGCUGACCGUAUUCUAAGAAUAAGCACCGGCUAACUACGUGCCAGCAGCUGCGGUAAUACGUAGGGUGCGAGCGUGAAUCGGAGUUACUGGGCGUAAAGGGUGCGCAGGCGGUAGAGUAAGCCUGAUGUGAAAUCCCCGGGCUUAACUCGGGCACGGCGUAUGGGACUGCUCGACUAGAGUGUGUGAGAGGGAGGUGGAAUUCCACGUGUAGCAGUGAAAUGCGUAGAUAUGUGGAAGAACAUCGAUGGCGAAGGCAGCCUCCUGGAACAUAACUGACGCUGAGGCACGAAAGCGUGGGGAGCAAACAGGAUUAGAUACCCGGGUAGUC
rnacentral:rRNA from 1 species